UACGGAGGGUGCAAGCGUUAUCCGGAUUUACUGGGUUUAAAGGGAGCGUAGGUGGGCAGGUAAGUCAGUGGUGAAAUCUCUGGGCUUAACCCGGAAACUGCCAUUGAUACUAUUUGUCUUGAAUUAUCUGGAGGUAAGCGGAAUAUGUCAUGUAGCGGUGAAAUGCUUAGAUAUGACAUAGAACACCCAUUGCGAAGGCAGCUUACUACGGAUAUAUUGACACUGAGGCUCGAAAGCGUGGGGAUCAAACAGG
rnacentral:rRNA from 1 species